GUGGGGAAUAUUGGACAAUGGGGGCAACCCUGAUCCAGCCAUGCCGCGUGAAUGAUGAAGGCCUUCGGGUUGUAAAGUUCUUUUGGAGGGGACGAUGAUGACGGUACCCUCAGAAUAAGCUCCGGCUAACUUCGUGCCAGCAGCCGCGGUAAUACGAAGGGAGCUAGCGUUGUUCGGAAUUACUGGGCGUAAAGGGCGCGUAGGCGGUUUGGUUAGUCAGAUGUGAAAGCCCAGGGCUUAACCCUGGAACUGCGUUUGAUACUGCCAAGCUUGAAUUCGGGAGAGGUGAGUGGAAUUCCCAGUGUAGAGGUGAAAUUCGUAGAUAUUGGGAAGAACACCGGUGGCGAGGGCGGCUCACUGGACCGACAUUGACGCUGAGGCGCGAAAGCGUGGGGAGCAAACAGGAUUAGAAACCCCUGUAGUCC
rnacentral:rRNA from 1 species